rnacentral:rRNA from 1 species
GCGGCAGGCCUAACACAUGCAAGUCGAGCGCAGUCCUUCGGGACCGAGCGGCGGACGGGUUAGUAACGCGUGGGAACAUACCCUUUUCUACGGAAUAGCCUCGGGAAACUGAGAGUAAUACCGUAUAAGCCCUUCGGGGGAAAGAUUUAUCGGGAAAGGAUUGGCCCGCGUUAGAUUAGAUAGUUGGUGGGGUAAUGGCCUACCAAGUCUACGAUCUAUAGCUGGUUUUAGAGGAUGAUCAGCAACACUGGGACUGAGACACGGCCCAGACUCCUACGGGAGGCAGCAGUGGGGAAUCUUAGACAAUGGGCGCAAGCCUGAUCUAGCCAUGCCGCGUGUGUGAUGAAGGUCUUAGGAUCGUAAAGCACUUUCGCCAGGGAUGAUAAUGACAGUACCUGGUAAAGAAACCCCGGCUAACUCCGUGCCAGCAGCCGCGGUAAUACGGAGGGGGUUAGCGUUGUUCGGAAUUACUGGGCGUAAAGCGUACGUAGGCGGAUCAGAAAGUAGGGGGUGAAAUCCCAGGGCUCAACCCUGGAACUGCCUCCUAAACUCCUGGUCUUGAGUUCGAGAGAGGUGAGUGGAAUUCCAAGUGUAGAGGUGAAAUUCGUAGAUAUUUGGAGGAACACCAGUGGCGAAGGCGGCUCACUGGCUCGAUACUGACGCUGAGGUACGAAAGUGUGGGGAGCAAACAGGAUUAGAUACCCUGGUAGUCCACACCGUAAACGAUGAAUGCCAGUCGUCGGGCAGUAUACUGUUCGGUGACACACCUAACGGAUUAAGCAUCC